CUUUAUGCUUCAGGUCCACAAACAAGUCAAAUGGGUUGCCCUGCACACCGUGUUCAUUGGCCUUGUUCGGUGUGAAUCUGCCGACUUGACAUUGUGUCUCUUUUCUCCCCAGUGGGAGAUGUGGUGCUUGGGGAAGAGGGAGAGCAGUACCUGCUGCCUGGGAGGCCUGCUUGGUGACUGUAGCUUCUUUCUCUGCGUUCAUGUGGUUCUCAUGAAGCUCACAUGCCAGAUCCAUGAUGAAAUCUCUCCUGUUGACUGUCUUGACAAGGCAUUGCUUGUACAACACGUGUUGAUAGCAGCCAUGUCGAGCACAUUGUAGAACAGCGCAACAGGCCAGCGGCAAGUACCUCCUUUUACAGAGUAUUGCCAUGUAAUAGUAAUAAUAUGAAUGUAAUAUAAUGAAAGGGGGGAUACUAGUUGGUGUCUGUCAGAUGGAAGGCUGUUUGUAUAUGGUAGAGAUACUGUAUAUACUGUAAUGACCUGGCUAGAUCAUAAAGGGGAUACUAGUUGCUGUCUGUAUAUGGUAGAGAUACUGUAUAUACUGUAAUGACCUGGCUAGAUCAUAAAGGGGAUACUAGUUGCUGUCUGUAUAUGGUAGAGAUACUGUAUAUACUGUAAUGACCUGGCUAGAUCAUAAAGGGGAUACUAGUUGCUGUCUGUAUAUGGUAGAGAUACUGUUUAUACUGUUAUGACCUGGCUAGGCUAGUCUUCUUUGUGUGUUCACUGUUCCUAGCAGGCUAGUCUUGUUUGUGUGUUCACUGUUCCUAGCAGGAUAGUCUUCUUUGUGUGUUCACUGUUCCUAGCAGGAUAGUCUUCUUUGUGUGUUCACUGUUCCUAGCAGGAUAGUCUUCUUUGUGUGUUCACUGUUCCUAGCAGGCUAGUCUUGUUUGUUUGUUCACUGUUCAUAGCAGGCUAGUCUUGUUUGUGUGUUCACUGUUCCUAGCAGGCUAGUCUUGUUUGUAAUCAACUUGUCUGACAGGAAAAUGAUGUGAAGAUGUUUUCCAUGGUCACAUGUCUGCCUUUGUCCAUGUCAGGCUCCACAUGACUCAAGACCACAGUCUCAGACACUCAACCACUGGCAUGGUUUCAUUUCCCCAGACAUGGAAAGACAUUGAGCAAGUCUGUGGCUAACCAGAACUGAAGUCACAUGCACUAUUAUCAGUUUCUAUCUGGUUUCUAUUGGCCAUUCAUCCAUUGACGACAGAAUAUCAGAUUUGAAUUUGAUUGUGUUACUAGUUUCUGCCUAGUUGCAGAUCAAUGCUGCUGCUGCAGGGGUCCUGUGAUAAAUACCUGGACAACACGGAUGUUGAUCAAUGCUGCUGCAGGGGUCCUGUGAUUAAUACCUGGACAACACGGAUGUUGAUCAAUACUGCUGCUGCAGGGGUCCUGUGAUAAAUACCUGGACAACACGGAUGUUGUUGAAGAAAAAGUGAACUUUGGAAAUUAAGCUGCACCUCUUGAAUGUUGAGAGUUAUUUGAUGAAGGGGUCAGUGCUCUAAAAUGAGUCUCUCUGGAGAGAGAAAGAAGGGGGGCCCUGCCUCUAAAAUGAGUCUCUCUGGGGGACAUGUCACCAAAACUAAAAGCCCAUUCAAGCAGGAGAGACCAGCCUCCCCUGUACCCAGCUGUGUGUCCAUGAAGAGUGAUAAGUCUAUGGGUCUACCUAUACUGUUUAGAGAGGGAGACUUUUCUACUGAACAAAGAAACCAACAGGAGAGAUCAGAGUCAGAGAUUCUCAGUGGUCAGUCUUCCC